GUCCAGGACAGGAAAGUGCGUGAUUUACAGCUAGAGGGAUAGGCGCUGUCCCGGAGCCCGUCCUGGGCCAGGGAGCAGGAGAGGGAGGGACUACAGUUCCCGACGCGCUGCGGGGCGGGCGGAGAUCGUGCGCUUCGGCGCCAGUUGCACGGCCUUAGCAGCCAGUGGCGGCUCCCCUGCUCCUGUAACAGUCCCCUUGUCUUCUGACCUUUCGCUCCUCGGUCAUGUGUCCUCGCCGGUCGCCGCGGCAGCCAGUGAUGCCCGAGCGGCGGGUUCCCAGGCCCAGGUGUGGGCGCCACCGCCCACCAUGCGCCAAGCCCAGAGCCUGGUUGAAUCGUUCGCCACCUUGUCUACCCAUUUUGGCCAUUAUCCUGCCACCUCCAAAUCCUGUUUUUGACACUUCUCGGGAGAGAGAGAAAACGGAAAGAUAAAGGAAUAAACUCCUCGUGGUCGUAGUUAGUGGGUAAAUUCAGAUCUCGUUUGAACCGAGGUUUUUCUUAUCUCCAGCCACCGUAUCCACCACCACCAGAAUCGUCUUUUUAGUCAUCACAGCUGGUCGCCGUCAGUACCUUGUUCAGAAGCCUCUCGCAGCUUCCAUCGUGUGGUUAUACAAUCCAAAUUCCUUAUAAAGUCCAAAUUCAAGAGGAGGAAUGCACGUUUAGUUAAGUUAAUGUCUAGACCUUACCAGCCAAUUUCUAGCUCCUCAGUAUGGAAAUUGCAACUGAAAACACCCCUUCCAAAAAAAGCAGUCUGCAUUUUUCUCUGAGUUUUCUUCUCCAAAUUUCGCACCCCUGACCUUGCUUACACACUCUGGAUACCACCUGCUGUGGAGUGGCGGAAGCAGACAUCCAGCGAUAGCUAAGUUUCCUGUCGUUGACACCCAAGCAAGACAGGCGUGUACCUAACUGAGGACCUGCCGGUGAUAGAAGUCUCAGCUUUUCUCAGAGACAGAUGAGUCUUCCCUUUAAAUGCUGCAAAGUGCUGCAUAGUAGAUGUUAAAUGAAAGUCAGAAAGAAUCAAAUGUGCUGCAAAUAAUUGAAGGCAAAGUCCCAAACCAGAAUGCAGUCCCCUGGCCAGUGACCCUAGAGAUGACGCUGGCUCCGGCGGUGGCUCCAGGUUCCUGAGAACACGGUUGCUGAUGUUACCACCUGGGACCUGGCGCAAAGCACUUCUCCUUGCUGCCGUCAUGUGAAGAAGGACGUGUUUGCUUCCCAUUCCACCAUGAUUGUAAGUUUCCUGAGGCCUCUCCAGUCCUGCGGAACUGUGAGUCAAUUAAACCUCUUUCUUUUAUAAAUUGACCAUCUCAGAUGUCUUCAUUAGCAGCGUGAGAAUGGGCUAAUACAAUCGCCCACCUCCCCAGUACCAGGCACUGUUCUAGGCACUUGACAUAAGUAAUGAACACAGUCGACUUGGCCCUGAGCCUUAGGACAGUUGCAAAACCUUGCUACUCACAGUGAGGUUCUUGGCCCAGCCACAGGGGCCUGUGGGGAAGCUUGUUAUCAGGGCCAACUCUCAGCAUCCCUGCUUCCAAGAUGCACAGUGUCAGAAUCGGUGCCGUUCCCAGAUGAUUCCUAUGCACAGGUGUGAGAAGCACUAGUCCAGAGAGUUUUACAAUUCCCCGUGAAAAAAAUCCAUGGGGAGAAAAGCUUCCACAUUUCUCAAAAUUUUCAUUUCUUUAUGUAAGAUGAAAGAAAGAUGUUCAGCUGCACAUUUUGAAAAUAUUUUGAAUGGAUAAAGAUGGUGAUAUACUAGGAGAUGAAAAAGAAGAAACCUGAAAAUGUUUAUUCACUUUUCAUUCCAG
rnacentral:lncRNA from 1 species